rnacentral:rRNA from 1 species
UAAGAAGGUACGUACAGGGGUAGGAGUGAAAUCUUGUAAUCCCGUGUGGGACCACCGUGUGGCGAAGGCGUCUUACCAGAACGGGUUCGACGGUGAGGGACGAAAGCUGGGGGCACGAACCGGAUUAGAUACCCGGGUAGUCCCAGCCGUAAACGAUGCUCGCUAGGUGUCAGGCAUGGCGCGACCGUGUCUGGUGCCGCAGGGAAGCCGUGAAGCGAGCCACCUGGGAAGUACGGCCGCAAGGCUGAAACUUAAAGGAAUUGGCGGGGGAGCACAACAACGGGGUUGGAGCCUGCGGUUUAAUUGGACUCAACGCCGGACAACUCACCGGGGGCGACAGCAAUAUGUAGGCCAAGCUGAAGACUUUGCCUGAAUCGCUGAGUAGUGGUGCAUGG